rnacentral:rRNA from 1 species
UACGGAGGGUGCAAGCGUUAAUCGGAAUUACUGGGCGUAAAGCGCGCGCAGGCGGUCCUUUAAGUCUGAUGUGAAAGCCCACGGCUCAACCGUGGAGGGUCAUUGGAAACUGGGGGACUUGAGUGCAGAAGAGGAAAGCGGAAUUCCACGUGUAGCGGUGAAAUGCGUAGAGAUGUGGAGGAACACCAGUGGCGAAGGCGGCUUUCUGGUCUGUAACUGACGCUGAGGCGCGAAAGCGUGGGGAGCAAACAGG